AGAGUUUGAUCAUGGCUCAGAUUGAACGCUGGCGGCAGGCCUAACACAUGCAAGUCGAGCGGUAGCACAGAGAGCUUGCUCUCGGGUGACGAGCGGCGGACGGGUGAGUAAUGUCUGGGAAACUGCCUGAUGGAGGGGGAUAACUACUGGAAACGGUGGCUAAUACCGCAUAAUGUCGCAAGACCAAAGUGGGGGACCUUCGGGCCUCAUGCCAUCAGAUGUGCCCAGAUGGGAUUAGCUAGUAGGUGGGGUAACGGCUCACCUAGGCGACGAUCCCUAGCUGGUCUGAGAGGAUGACCAGCCACACUGGAACUGAGACACGGUCCAGACUCCUACGGGAGGCAGCAGUGGGGAAUAUUGCACAAUGGGCGCAAGCCUGAUGCAGCCAUGCCGCGUGUGUGAAGAAGGCCUUCGGGUUGUAAAGCACUUUCAGCGGGGAGGAAGGCGNCGAUUGACGUUACCCGCAGAAGAAGCACCGGCUAACUCCGUGCCAGCAGCCGCGGUAAUACGGAGGGUGCAAGCGUUAAUCGGAAUUACUGGGCGUAAAGCGCACGCAGGCGGUCUGUCAAGUCGGAUGUGAAAUCCCCGGGCUCAACCUGGGAACUGCAUUCGAAACUGGCAGGCUAGAGUCUUGUAGAGGGGGGUAGAAUUCCAGGUGUAGCGGUGAAAUGCGUAGAGAUCUGGAGGAAUACCGGUGGCGAAGGCGGCCCCCUGGACAAAGACUGACGCUCAGGUGCGAAAGCGUGGGGAGCAAACAGGAUUAGAUACCCUGGUAGUCCACGCCGUAAACGAUGUCGAUUUGGAGGUUGUGCCCUUGAGGCGUGGCUUCCGGAGCUAACGCGUUAAAUCGACCGCCUGGGGAGUACGGCCGCAAGGUUAAAACUCAAAUGAAUUGACGGGGGCCCGCACAAGCGGUGGAGCAUGUGGUUUAAUUCGAUGCAACGCGAAGAACCUUACCUGGUCUUGACAUCCACAGAACUUUCCAGAGAUGGAUUGGUGCCUUCGGGAACUGUGAGACAGGUGCUGCAUGGCUGUCGUCAGCUCGUGUUGUGAAAUGUUGGGUUAAGUCCCGCAACGAGCGCAACCCUUAUCCUUUGUUGCCAGCGGUUNNNNNNNNNNNNNNNNNNNNNNNNNNNNNNNNNNNNNNNNNNNNNNNGGCCGGGAACUCAAAGGAGACUGCCAGUGAUAAACUGGAGGAAGGUGGGGAUGACGUCAAGUCAUCAUGGCCCUUACGACCAGGGCUACACACGUGCUACAAUGGCAUAUACAAAGAGAAGCGACCUCGCGAGAGCAAGCGGACCUCAUAAAGUAUGUCGUAGUCCGGAUUGGAGUCUGCAACUCGACUCCAUGAAGUCGGAAUCGCUAGUAAUCGUAGAUCAGAAUGCUACGGUGAAUACGUUCCCGGGCCUUGUACACACCGCCCGUCACACCAUGGGAGUGGGUUGCAAAAGAAGUAGGUAGCUUAACCUUCGGGAGGGCGCUUACCACUUUGUGAUUCAUGACUGGGGUGAAGUCGUAACAAGGUAACCGUAGGGGAACCUGCGGUUGGAUCACCU
rnacentral:rRNA from 1 species